rnacentral:rRNA from 1 species
UAGUCCACGCCGUAAACGAUGUCUACUAGCCGUUGGGUUGUAAUGACUUAGUGGCGCAGCUAACGCAAUAAGUAGACCGCCUGGGGAGUACGGCCGCAAGGUUAAAACUCAAAUGAAUUGACGGGGCCCGCACAAGCGGUGGAGCAUGUGGUUUAAUUCGACGCAACGCGAAGAACCUUACCUACUCUUGACAUCCAGAGAAUUCGCUAGAGAUAGCUUAGUGCCUUCGGGAACUCUGAGACAGGCGCUGCAUGGCUGUCGUCAGCUCGUGUUGUGAAAUGUUGGGUUAAGUCCCGUAACGAGCGCAACCCUUAUCCUUACUUGCCAGCACUUCGGGUGGGAACUUUAAGGAGACUGCCGGUGACAAACCGGAGGAAGGUGGGGACGACGUCAAGUCAUCAUGGCCCUUACGAGUAGGGGCUACACACGUGCUACAAUGGCGUAUACAAAGGGGCAGCGAGCUAGCGAUAGUGAGCAAAU